rnacentral:rRNA from 1 species
GUGGGGAAUAUUGGACAAUGGGCGAAAGCCUGAUCCAGCAAUGCCGCGUGAGUGAAGAAGGCCUUCGGGUUGUAAAGCUCUUUUACCCGGGAAGAUAAUGACUGUACCGGGAGAAUAAGCCCCGGCUAACUCCGUGCCAGCAGCCGCGGUAAUACGGAGGGGGCUAGCGUUGUUCGGAAUUACUGGGCGUAAAGCGCACGUAGGCGGCUUGGUAAGUUAGGGGUGAAAGCCUGGAGCUCAACUUCAGAAUUGCCCUUAAGACUGCUUCGCUUGAACACGGGAGAGGUGAGUGUAAUUCCGAGUGUAGAGGUGAAAUUCGUAGAUAUUCGGAAGAACACCAGUGGCGAAGGCGGCUCACUGGACCGAUACUGACACUGAGGUGCGAAAGCGUGGGUAGCGAACAGGAUUAGAUACCCGUGUAGUCC